CCUACGGGCGGCUGCAGUGAGGAAUAUUGGUCAAUGGGCGCGAGACUGAACCAGCCAAGUAGCGUGAAGGAUGACUGCCCUACGGGUUGUAAACCUCUUUUAUAAAGGAAUAAAGUGUGGCACGCGUGCCUUUUUGUAUGUACUUUAUGAAUAAGGAUCGGCUAACUCCGUGCCAGCAGCCGCGGUAAUACGGAGGAUCCGAGCGUUAUCCGGAUUUAUUGGGUUUAAAGGGUGCGGAGAUGGGUUGUUAAGUCAGUUGUGAAAGUGUGCGGCUCAACCGGAAAACUGCAAUUGAUACUGGCAGUCUUGAGUACAGUUGAGGUAGGCGGAAUUCGUGGUGUAGCGGUGAAAUGCUUAGAUAUCGCGAAGAACUCCGAUUGCGAAGGCAGCUUACUAAACUGACACUGACAUUGAGGCACGAAAGUGUGGGUAUCGAACAGGAUUAGAUACCCGUGUAGUC
rnacentral:rRNA from 1 species